rnacentral:rRNA from 1 species
GAUGAACGCUGGCGGCGUGCUUAACACAUGCAAGUCGAACGAAGCACUUUAUUUGAAACCUUCGGGUAGAUUAUUCUGUGACUUAGUGGCGGACGGGUGAGUAACGCGUGGGUAACCUGCCUCAUACACCGGGAUAACAGUUGGAAACGGCUGCUAAUACCGGAUAAGCAUACAGUACCGCAUGGUACAGUGUGAAAAACUCAGGUGGUAUGAGAUGGACCCGCGUCUGAUUAGCUAGUUGGUAAGGUAACGGCUUACCAAGGCGACGAUCAGUAGCCGACUUGAGAGAGUGAUCGGCCACAUUGGGACUGAGACACGGCCCAAACUCCUACGGGAGGCAGCAGUGGGGAAUAUUGCACAAUGGGGGAAACCCUGAUGCAGCGACGCCGCGUGAAGGAUGAAGUAUUUCGGUAUGUAAACUUCUAUCAGCAAGGAAGAAAAUGAC